AUGAGAUGGCAUUCCUGAAAGUCAUGUUCUGUUCGGUGACAUCUUGUUUGUUUCCAUUCCAGAAAUUAAGUAUGUUUUGAUCGGAACAGGGGUCGGCCUGUUCCUACUCAUUCUGUUUAUUAUCUUCAAGUUCUGCACCAUCAGAAAGGAACUCCGUAACAGCAACUGCACAGACGGUAGCGCAAAGAGAGCUUCAGAGCCUCACAUGGUCACUUUGAGCAAUCUCAGCCAAUCAGAACAUCCCGUGGCGGCGGUCUCCAAUGACACGCAAUGUUAAAGGUCAGGCAGAGUGAUAUUCAGGAUGAUGUGAACCCUGCAAAAGUGGCAUCUGGGUGAAGGGUCAACUGGGCGACCUCACGUUGUCUCCUCACGUUUGGACGCACAAACAUCAACAUACAUCUUACCUCUUCUAAUUAUUCUAACUGUUCCUUGAGAAUGCAGCCUAGUGGUUUUUAUACUAAAUGUUGUAAUCGAACUUGUAAUAAUGUUUGGUAAUGUAAUAAAACAUG